AAAAAUUCUAUACAUUGUCCAGAUUGGGAUUAGCUGGGCGAAAAUUAACUCAUUUAUUUGCUGGCAUCAAUUAGAGGUUUCCAUAUUUUCCUCCUUUAAUUAAUUAAUUGGAAUCUCACGUUGAUUGCGGCGCCGCAUUAUCACUACCAUUCGGUGCUGCCUGAAAUUAUAAAAAGGAAAUGCAAACGCUACCAAAAAAAGAAAAACAAAAGGCAGAUGGAAACAAUGCUAAUAAUCCACCAAAGAAAUUCUAAAAAAAAAUUCCCAAGAAG
rnacentral:misc_RNA from 1 species